UUGCCCCAUCUAUUAUAUGAGGACAAAAGUUAGAAAAAAUCUCACGGAACAGGGUAAACUUAUGGAAAGAUUCAGCCUACCCUGACAACCUACCGCUCUCGUCAAUGAUGGUGCAUACAGGCUCGUAGGGGGCUAGUCGCUAGGUGGCCCAGGUGCUGUGCUGAGCUGAGCUGCUGAUGGCCACAUUUAUCAUGGCGUCGUAGCGGCUAGUUAUAUCACGGCAGCCGAACGUGGCAGACCUUUAUUUUUGUAGGUGAAAUCCAAGGGAGGAACUGCAAAUGCUCGGCGCCAUCUUGUACGAACGAUGUGGUCUGGCGGACACCUUACCAAGGUGACCAUGCAUUACCUUCGAGUGUAUUUAAGUUGCAAGUCGGUAGAUUUGCUCUGCAGUUUCCCGGAUACCAGCACCCUGCUUCGCGAGAACUACUCUACGUUGUUCUGGGGGGGCUUAGACGAACAUCUGAAUCCGAUUUUGAAGAAGUCUUGCAUCGAUGGACACUGACAAAAUAUAGGAAGCUGCACAUGAAUGUUGGGUAUUUUAUCAUAAGUAGAAUACAGAUAGAUUCUGUAGUAGUAGAUCUCUUUAGUUGGGUAUUGAAAUUGGCUUUGGUUUGUAUGGGGUCUGAUGAGGUCUCAGUUGCAUUUGAUCCUACUUGUUAUUUAUCACUGCCAAUGCCAGUCGAAAAGGAAGUACCAGUUGACCUGUAUCUGGCUAACAUGGACCUUUUAGCAGAAAUUUUUCUGCUUUCAAGGGAUUCAAAGAGUUUGCAGAAUAUUAUGUCUCUAGGAUUCCACAGUUUUAGGUAAUUCAAUUGACAAGAAAUUUACACUGAUUUUUGUUUUAUUUUUCUAAAGGCAGAUUCUUAAUUAUAAAGGAUUGGGAAAGAAAAUUGACGGAGGCUCAGUGCCAAAAAAAUUAUGGUAGUUGGAAUGAUUACCGAAGCUCUUCGGAUUCGUUUAUUUCACUCGUUAUGGUAUUUAAAGAAAAUAAACGUGUACCUGUGCCCCUUUGUAUCUGUGACCCGAUUUCCUCUUCACUUGCGAUAAUUCUGCAGCGGGUCAUGCAGAUACUGUGAUCAGCAGAAAAAGUUGGAAGUGCGCUGCCCGGAAAGCAAAUCUGGGGUAAAAGAAAAAAACUUAUUCCAACUAGUAAGCCAUUCCCAAAUUCAACCAACAAAAAGGAAAAGGUGGAAGGAAAAACUUCGUUCUCUGGUAGUGUUUUAGUUAAAAUCCUUUUUGUGCAAAUUCAUUUUUGAAAUUGUUUACCUCAUUUUCGAAUGGUUCCGUUCACAUUUGUUGUUCAUGUGAGAUUUUAUGUUUACCAGUUACUGCAUUAUAUUGACCACUAUUGCAAGAUGUUUGUUUAGGAAUAACUACUGUUUUGUUUAUCUGGAAUGUUGUGUGGGAGUCCAUCAGGAAUUGCUGGUCUGCAGUAAAUUUGUCAGGCUAGGUGAUGAAGAUCAAUGAAUCAGAAAAUGUUUUGCAUGGGUGGUGAAUGUUCUGACAGUUUUAACAGUUGUGAUGUGGUGUAUUUCACUUCCACGCAUCAUGGUGUUUUUAUCUAUCAGUUGAAUUGUAUGGUUAAUUUUCUGUUCGUGUAACCUCAUUUCCUCUUGAAUCAUAUAGUAGAAAUUGGUGACCUGAAACAAUGAACAUGGAAAAAUCA